rnacentral:rRNA from 1 species
UUUGGGCGAGCUAAUUAUAUUAUAUUUGUAGAUUAACAACGUGUCACAAAACGCUUUUAAAAAAUAAUUAGGGGUGAUAGGCUUGUCACGCUCAAAGAUAACUUGAUAACCUUGAAAAGUAAUAGUACUAAGAUAACUUUAAAAUGAUUAGGUUUUAAAGAUGAUCAAAAUUUUUAAAACUAUAUGGUAAAAUGUGUAAAUAUUAUUGCUUUAAUAAUUUAUUAUUUUUUUAAGUUAGAUUGAUUUCAUUAGGGGUUUAUUAUAAAAUUGAAAUUAUUAAUCAACAAUGUUAAAAUUAGUAAUAUUAUAAAUGUAUUUUAUGAACUCGGCAAUAUAACUUUUAACUGUUUAUCAAAAACAUAGCCGAAAGUCAGUAUUUUUGGUGAUUUCUGCUCAAUGAAUUUUAAAUAGCCGCAGUACUUUGACUGUGCUAAGGUAGCGCAAUCAAUUGACUUUUAAUUGGAGUCCUGUAUGAAAGAAUUUAUGAAGGUUAACUAUAUUAAUUAUAUUUUAUGAAUUUAUUUAUCAGGUGCAAAUACCUGUAAUAAAAUAAUAGACGAGAAGACCCUAGAAAUUUUUAAGAAAUUACUUUUUGUUGGGGCAACAAAGUAGCAUUUAAUCUACUGUUAAUAACACGCAAAUCUUAUUUGGCAAGAUGAAAUUACUCUAGGGAUAACAGCAUAAUUUAUUAAAGUUUGUGACCUCGAUGUUGGAUUAGGGAAAUAACGUUUAGAAG